GUAGGUGAACCUGCGGAAGGAUCAUUAAAGAGACGUUGCCCUUCGGGGUCGACCUCCCACCCUAUGUUUAUCAUACCUCUGUUGCUUUGGCAGGCCCGUCCUCGGACCACCGGCUCCGGCCGGUCCGUGCCUGCCAGGGGACCUAAAACUCUGUUUGUUAAUGCAGUCUGAGUACUAUAUAAUAGUUAAAACUUUCAACAACGGAUCUCUUGGUUCUG
rnacentral:misc_RNA from 1 species